UACGUAGGCAGCAAGCGUUGUUCGGAGUUAUUGGGCGUAAAGGGCUUGUAGGCGGUUUCCUAAGUCUGGUGUGAAAUCUCCCGGCUCAACUGGGAGGGUGCGCCGAAAACUGGGGAGCUAGAGUACUGGAUGGGAGAGUGGAAUUCCUGGUGUAGCGGUGAAAUGCGUAGAUAUCAGGAGGAACACCUGUGGUGUAGACGGCUCUCUGGACAGUAACUGACGCUGAGACACGAAAGCGUGGGUAGCAAACAGG
rnacentral:rRNA from 1 species